CAUCAUGCCCCUUACUGACCUGGGCUACACACGUGCUACAAUGGGCGGUACAAAGGGUCGCGAACCCGCGAGGGGGAGCCAAUCCCAAAAAGCCGCUCUCAGUUCGGAUUGCAGGCUGCAACUCGCCUGCAUGAAGCCGGAAUCGCUAGUAAUCGUGGAUCAGCAUGUCACGGUGAAUACGUUCCCGGGUCUU
rnacentral:rRNA from 1 species